rnacentral:tRNA from 2 species
AAUUGAGUGCCUGACUAAAAGGAUUACCUUGAUAGGGUAAAUAAUGUAAUUUAUUACCUCAAUUA